AAGUCGUAACAAGGUUUCCGUAGGUGAACCUGCGGAAGGAUCAUUAACACGUAUCCAACGUUAAAACAACCCUGUGAACCUUCACCCCUGCUCUCCUUGUAUUUCGGUACUUGGAUUUGAUGCGGUCGAAGCAAUAGACUUGCCUCUGUGGGGUAGUCAGUGGGUGAAAGUGCCACUGGUUACUUAAGCGGAGUACUGCACCCGGACUAAUCGGGGUGGGAUCAUCGAGUGUCCUCACGGCCGAUGAACGAGUCUCUGAGCGCGAGCUCCAAUAUUAACCCCGUCUUUAAUCUUUAGGGAGCUGGUCGCUUCGGCGCCGCCCCUGUCGUGAAAGCUGAACAACUGUUAACAAUGGAUAUCUUGGUUCUC
rnacentral:misc_RNA from 1 species